UACGUAGGGUGCGAGCGUUGUUCGGAUUUACUGGGCGUAAAGGGUGCGUAGGCUGCGAUGUAAGUCUGAUGUGAAAUCCCUGGGCUCAACCCGGGAACUGCAUUGGAUACUGCGUUGCUAGAGUACCGGAGAGGGUGGCGGAAUUCCCGGUGUAGAGGUGAAAUUCGUAGAUAUCGGGAGGAACACCAGCGGCGAAGGCGGCCACCUGGACGGAUACUGACGCUGAGACGCGAAAGCGUGGGGAGCAAACAGG
rnacentral:rRNA from 1 species